AUUGAACGCUGGCGGCAGGCCUAACACAUGCAAGUCGAGCGGAUGAAGGGAGCUUGCUCCUGGAUUCAGCGGCGGACGGGUGAGUAAUGCCUAGGAAUCUGCCUGGUAGUGGGGGAUAACGUCCGGAAACGGGCGCUAAUACCGCAUACGUCCUGAGGGAGAAAGUGGGGGAUCUUCGGACCUCACGCUAUCAGAUGAGCCUAGGUCGGAUUAGCUAGUUGGUUGGGUAAAGGCCUACCAAGGCGACGAUCCGUAACUGGUCUGAGAGGAUGAUCAGUCACACUGGACAUGAGAAGCGGACCAGACUCCUACGGGAGGCAGCAGUGGGGAAUAUUGGACAAUGGGGGAAAGCCUGAUCCAGCCAUGCCGCGUGUGUGAAGAAGGUCUUCGGAUUGUAAAGCACUUUAAGUUGGGAGGAAGGGCAGUAAGUUAAUACCUUGCUGUUUUGACGUUACCAACAGAAUAAGCACCGGCUAACUUCGUG
rnacentral:rRNA from 1 species